rnacentral:rRNA from 1 species
ACGGGAGGCAGCAGUAGGGAAUAUUGCACAAUGGGGGGAACCCUGAUGCAGCCAUGCCGCGUGUGUGAAGAAGGCCUUCGGGUUGUAAAGCACUUUAGUUUUCGAGAAAGUGCGUAUAAAUAAUAAGUAUGCGUAUUGAUGUUAGAAAAAGAAUAAGUACCGGCAAACUCCGUGCCAGCAGCCGCGGUAAUACGGAGGGUACGAGCGUUAAUCGGAAUGACUGGGCGUAAAGGGCACGUAGGUGGGUAAUCAAGUCGGCAGUGAAAUAUCCGGGCUCAACCUGGGGAUGGCUGGCGAAACUGAUAAUCUAGAGUAUGGUAGAGGGGAGUAGAAUUCCAAGUGUAGCGGUGAAAUGCGUAGAGAUUUGGAAGAAUACCGGAGGCGAAGGCGGCUCUCUGGACCGAUACUGACACUGAAGAGCGAAAGCGUGGGGAGCAAACAGGAUUAGAUACCCUGGUA